AGCAGCCGCGGUAAUUCCAGCUCCAAUAGCGUAUAUUAAAGUUGUUGCAGUUAAAAAGCUCGUAGUUGAAUUUCGGAAUCUGUCCGUCGGUCGGGCUUCACUGUCCGUACUGGUGUGAUGGGUUUCUACCUUCUGAAUAACCGGCAUGUCAUUAAUUUGGUGCGCCGGGGAAGCAGAACUAUUACCUUGAAAAAAUUAGAGUGCUUAAAGCAGGCUAUCGCCUGAAUAGAUUAGCAUGGAAUAAUAAAAUAGGACGGCAUGGUUCUAUUUUGUUGGUUUCUAGGAUCACCGUAAUGAUUAAUAGGGAUAGUUGGGGGCAUUAGUAUUCAAUUGUCAGAGGUGAAAUUCUUGGAUUUAUUGAAGACUAACUUCUGCGAAAGCAUUUGCCAAGGAUGUUUUCAUUAAUCAAGAACGAAAGUUAGGGGGAUCGAAGACGAUCAGAUACCGUCGUAGUCUUAACCAUAAACUAUGCCGACUAGGGAUCGGACGAUGUUAAUUUUUUAAUGACUCGUUCGGCGCC
rnacentral:rRNA from 1 species